GUGUUUGAGGGAUAAAAAAAGAGAGGUAAGGUUAUGUAUUGUGUGUGUGAGAAAGAACUAUGGUUAUGCUUUGUGUGAAGAAUUAUAUCUAUAAAGCUUUAGGCCAUACGUUUGGGUGAGUGCAGUGCACACUCCUAUAUUGAUAAUAUGAGUACAAGAAAAUAUUUUUAUUUUUUGUGUCUAAUUUCAAAAGGAACUAUAUUUCUAAAACAUUAGAAAGGAACUAUAAUAAUCCAAAUUCAUGUAGCUGAAUUUAUGAUGAUACUUGGAGGAGUUUGUGUACAUUUUCUUUGGGGGUUGAGGAAUUGGGUUAAAGGAGAACAAUUGAAGACCCUUAAGGUCAGGCUUCAACUCUUUGGGAGGACUGGUUUGGCCUUUGACGUUGUUAGGAUGUGGCUAGGUUGGGCAUGAAUUUCUGCGAAUUGAAGACUGUGUGCAUUGUCAGAUUAACAAGUAGGGAAAUCUGCUACUCUACUUGACCUUUGAUAUGAUGUAAGUGGAUUUAUGAAACUCUUUUCCAUUCAUAUCAGUCUCCUAGAUGUUAUUUCGCAUCUUCUUCCUGCAUCCUGAAGAUUAUAGGUUUAGCUCUCUCUCCCUCUCUCGGGUUAUGACAUAGAAUUAGUAGAUGUCAGCUAUGGUGAAAGUUUAGAAGAUUUAGACUUCCGAAUGUUCGUUAAUAUACAUCUCAUUGUUACUUGGCUGCACCUCAGGUCAUCUCUGGAGCUUUAUGCUUUUAGUCUUUUGAAGUUUAUUUGUCGGGACAGAGACCAUCUGUUGGUGACCUGGAAAUAUCUCAAGAGCUUGCCCUUUUUCUGAGUAGUUACUGCAAAAUGGGAGUUGUGAUAAUGGAUGGGGGAGGCCUCUUAGGCUGGGAAGUGAAAUGUUGCAUUGCUUCGUAUAAUUAAAUGGCUAUUUCA
rnacentral:lncRNA from 1 species